GACGAACGCUGGCGGCGUGCUUAACACAUGCAAGUCGAACGGAAAGGCCCUGCUUUUGUGGGGUGCUCGAGUGGCGAACGGGUGAGUAACACGUGAGUAACCUGCCCUUGACUUUGGGAUAACUUCAGGAAACUGGGGCUAAUACCGGAUAGGAGCUCCUGCUGCAUGGUGGGGGUUGGAAAGUUUCGGCGGUUGGGGAUGGACUCGCGGCUUAUCAGCUUGUUGGUGGGGUAGUGGCUUACCAAGGCUUUGACGGGUAGCCGGCCUGAGAGGGUGACCGGCCACAUUGGGACUGAGAUACGGCCCAGUCUCCUACGGGAGGCAGCAGUGGGGAAUAUUGCACAAUGGGCGGAAGCCUGAUGCAGCAACGCCGCGUGCGGGAUGACGGCCUUCGGGUUGUAAACCGCUUUCGCCUGUGACGAAGCGUGAGUGACGGUAGUGGGUAAAGAAGCACCGGCUAACUACGUG
rnacentral:rRNA from 1 species